UCGGUCUGUUGUCAAUUUUAUACUGAAUUUAGCAACAGCACAGGGUAAUCAUGAAGUGCGUUAAAUUCGGAUUUCUUCUCUUGGCUUGUGUUUUAGCAAUAAGCAUGAAUGAAGCUUCGGCGGAAGAAGCCUGUGAGUAUAAUGGUGAAGGAUAUGACCCGGGGGCACAAUUUCCUUCUAAAGACGGCUGUAAUACAUGUACAUGUCAAACAGACGGACAAGUUGCCUGUACUACCAAAUCUUGUGAUGACGAAUAAUUAAUCUACUUCGACUUACGUUGUGUGAAAUUGUUUAAUUGCAACAUCUGUUUAUGUUUAUAUAACAUUUAAAGCAACAUUUAUACAGCAUGAAAUUAAAAUGUUCCCCUAUCCUUAAAGAAUAAGAACUGUCAAUAGUAUAUGUCAACAGUUAACAAUAAACGUACAUAUGA